GAUGAACGCUGGCUACAGGCUUAACACAUGCAAGUCGAGGGGAAACGACGGGGAAGCUUGCUUCCCCGGGCGUCGACCGGCGCACGGGUGAGUAACGCGUAUCCAACCUGCCUCUGACUGAGGGAUAACCCGUCGAAAGUCGGCCUAAUACCUCAUGGCAUCGUCUGCGGGCAUCCAACGACGAUUAAAGAUUUCAUCGGUCAGGGAUGGGGAUGCGUCUGAUUAGCUUGUUGGCGGGGUAACGGCCCACCAAGGCGACGAUCAGUAGGGGUUCUGAGAGGAAGGUCCCCCACAUUGGAACUGAGACACGGUCCAAACUCCUACGGGAGGCAGCAGUGAGGAAUAUUGGUCAAUGGGCGAGAGCCUGAACCAGCCAAGUAGCGUGCAGGAUGACGGCCCUAUGGGUUGUAAACUGCUUUUAUGCGGGGAUAAAGUGAGGGACGUGUCCUUCAUUGCAGGUACCGCAUGAAUAAGGACCGGCUAAUUCCGUGCCAGCAGCCGCGGUAAUACGGAAGGUCCGGGCGUUAUCCGGAUUUAUUGGGUUUAAAGGGAGCGUAGGCCGUGGAUUAAGCGUGUUGUGAAAUGCAGGUGCUCAACGUCUGCACUGCAGCGCGAACUGGUCCACUUGAGUGUGCGCAACGCAGGCGGAAUUCGUCGUGUAGCGGUGAAAUGCUUAGAUAUGACGAAGAACUCCGAUUGCGAAGGCAGCUUGCGGGAGCACAACUGACGCUGAAGCUCGAAAGUGCGGGUAUCGAACAGG
rnacentral:rRNA from 1 species